GAUUUGCAAACAAAACUUUAGAACUUGCAAGCAAAGAGGACGCAAAAUGGUCGUAUGUUUUUACUUACAAACAUUAGUUUUGAUUGAAGUUGAAGAAAUAUGUUCUCUCAUAUUUUUUUUUUCAAUUGCAACCUGUUCUGUUUUGAUCUCAAAAAAAUUUUUUUGAUUGCCACUUACUCUUUUUUUCUCUCAAAUCUCUCUUUUGGUUUCAAAUCUAUUCUAUUUGAUUGAAUAAUAAAAGAACAAAAUUCUCCCCAUAUACCAUUACCAUUAACAUUAACAUAAACAUAAACAUUAACUUAAAAUGUGAAUUUAGGUGCAUGUAAUUCUUUAGUAUGAACCACAUUUUAUAAUGAAAAAUAAAUAAUGCACUAUGCAGUCAUUAGAACAAGAAGAGCUUUUGAAUCUUGUGUGGAUUAUUUAAGUUACAUUUUGCUGGUUAUAGUGACAUGAAUAUGUUUAUAUUUUUACUGCCUAAGGCCAAGAAGAAAUUGUCCCUAAAUGUCCCUAAAGAUGACUUGAUGGCAGAGGUGACCAAAAAUGAUCUGGAUGGUCCUGAAGAUAAAGGAAGCUCUGCUCCAAGUUGCAGCAGUAUAAGCAGCAUUGGAUCAGGAUCAAUCUCCAAAGUGGAGUUCCUAGAAGCCAGGAUCCAAUGGCAAGAAAAAAUAAGAAGAAAAAGAAGAAAUCAUGUGAAUGAUUUGGGAGCAACUUGUAUCUGCAAAAUAUAAUGUAAUUGUAAUGAAAGGUGUGAUAUAUCUUCAUAACAAUCUGAUCUUUGUCUCAUGUAUCCUCUAUUUGAUCGAAGCUCAGUCAAAAGUAUUUACUUUGGAGGACAAUGAUGAGGAUGACAAUGGCAAUAUGGAUGAAGAUGAAGUCAUUCCCCCAUCUUCUCCAGACAUCAGUGAGUCCUCGGACAGUGAUGUCCUCCAAAGGGGGAAGACACAUCGGACACGGCCACCUGCAUCUGCAACUGUGGCUGUGCCUGGAAAAGCUCAUGUGAGAGAUUUUUCAGUGAAAGGGCCAGCUGAGGUUAUCAGCAGAUAUAAAAAAAGUCUUGAAAAGCUUAAGCAAAGUCCACACCAUGACUGAAACCUUCAGAAUCAAUGGCGUGGACCGGGGAACCAUCAAGAUAACUGCUGCAAUUGUAGAGCUCAACAUUGUGGAUCCUGAAACCUUCAAGACCCUGAAGUAUGAUCCUGCAACGGAGACCCUGAAGUCCUUUGCUAAGAGAUGUGCAACCCACAUUACCCCUGAGAAGAAGAGCAUUAUAGAGGACAUGAAGGCCAAAUGCCAACUCCUCUCCUUGUUGAUGAAAUAUAAAGACCUGAUGCAGUAAUUAUAGAGCAGGUUUAGGCUGUGAAAGUGCAAUGUUUGUACAGUUCAGUACAUUUGUUCUAAGCGUUGACAAGUGUACUUAAGCUGAUAAAGAGCAAGUUCAUGUUGAGCUGUGUAGGUUUUAUAUUUUUUAGAUUGUGCAAUAUUUUGUAUUUUUGUACUUAAUAUUGUGCAGUAUUUUAUAUUGUGCUGUUUUUUUGUAAGCAGGCAGAUUUUGGUUAAAGGAUCACACAGAUUUUCAACAAGAGUGCCUGUAUUAUCAUACAGUAUGACCUGCUUAUACAUUUGAAACCAUAUUGUAUGACAUGUUUAUAUACACUGAUACUUGUCAGUGUUUGAAUUUUCAGGCAGACCCCAUUACCUGUAAAUUAAACUACACAGCAAGUUCACACAGUAUUUGUUGUCAGCCUUGGCAAAACCUGAACUAGUGGUUUAAUAAAUGAGGUAUUUGUACUUGUGCUGUCUUUGUUAUUCUACCACUGAAUGAGAGGGAACCUAUAGAUAGAUCCAUUUUUUUCAAAGGUGUAACCCAUCACUUGUUCAUUGCAGUAGUUAUGUGCUAUAAUAUAUUAACUAAGUGUGAAAAGUAGGCAACUUUAGAUUAGGGAACAUGUGUUGGUUAAUAAGUGUUCAACUAUUAGUGAAUUAGUAAUGAUCAAGAUGUCACUUUAGUAUGGGGAACAUAUUCUAAGUAACACAGACUUAAUUUAGAGUUAUUUGGACACUAUUAACACUUGUAGUUUUGUCUUUUGUUAUGUAAGAACAGACCAUAUUCAUUAAGUGUUAUUAAGGGAGAAUAACUAUUCUUGUGGUACUACCACCUUAUAAAGUCCAUACUAAGCAAAGCAUAUUGAGAUUGUAAUUCAUAUACAACAACUUCUUAACUUACUACUAAUAAGCAAU
rnacentral:lncRNA from 15 species